rnacentral:rRNA from 1 species
AUUGAACGCUGGCGGCAGGCCUAACACAUGCAAGUCGAACGAGUGGCGGACGGGUGAGUAAUGUCUGGGAAACUGCCCGAUGGAGGGGGAUAACUAAUGGAAACGGUAGCUAAUACCGCAUACCAUCGGAUGUGCCCAGAUGGGAUUAGCUAGUAGGUGGGGUAAAGGCUCACCUAGGCGACGAGCCCUAGCUGGUCUGAGAGGAUGACCAGCCACACUGGAACGUAGACACGGUCCAGACUCCUACGGAGGGCAGCAGUGGGGAAUAUUGCACAAUGGGCGCAAGCCUGAUGCAGCCAUGCCGCGUGUAUGAAGAAGGCCUUGGGGUUGUAAAGUACGUUCAGCGAGGAGGCGUUACUCGAAGAAGAAGCACCGGCUAACUCCGUGCCAGCAGCCGCGGUAAUAC